rnacentral:rRNA from 1 species
AUUGAACGCUAGCGGCAGGCCUAACACAUGCAAGUCGAGCGGUUGAAGGGAGCUUGCUCCCUGAUUCAGCGGCGGACGGGUGAGUAAUGCCUAGGAAUCUGCCUAUUAGUGGGGGACAACGUUUCGAAAGGAACGCUAAUACCGCAUACGUCCUACGGGAGAAAGCAGGGGACCUUCGGGCCUUGCGCUAAUAGAUGAGCCUAGGUCGGAUUAGCUUGUUGGUGAGGUAAUGGCUCACCAAGGCGACGAUCCGUAACUGGUCUGAGAGGAUGAUCAGUCACACUGGAACUGAGACACGGUCAAGACUCCUACGGGAGGCAGCAGUGGGGAAUAUUGGACAAUGGGCGAAAGCCUGAUCCAGCCAUGCCGCGUGUGUGAAGAAGGUCUUCGGAUUGUAAAGCACUUUAAGUUGGGAGGAAGGGUUGUAGAUUAAUACUCUGCAAUUUUGACGUUACCGACAGAAUAAGCACCGGCUAACUCUGUGCCAGCAGCCGCGGUAA